rnacentral:rRNA from 1 species
CCGCUCAGGAUGAACGCUAGCGGCAGGCUUAACACAUGCAAGUCGAGGGGUAACAGGUAGAAAGCUUGCUUUCUAUGCUGACGACCGGCGCACGGGUGAGUAACGCGUAUGCAACCUACCUUUAACUGGAGAAUAGCCCCGAGAAAUCGGGAUUAAUGCUCCAUAACAAUUAGAUAUCGCAUGGUAUUAAAGUUAAAGUUCCGGCGGUUAAAGAUGGGCAUGCGUGACAUUAGUUAGUUGGUGAGGUAACGGCUCACCAAGGUGACGAUGUCUAGGGGUUCUGAGAGGAUUAUCCCCCACACUGGUACUGAGACACGGACCAGACUCCUACGGGAGGCAGCAGUAAGGAAUAUUGGGCAAUGGACGCAAGACUGACCCAGCCAUGCCGCGUG